rnacentral:rRNA from 1 species
UGUUAGCCUUUGCCAAUACCACUGAUGGCGACCGGCGGCACGGGUGCGUAACGCGUAUGUAACUUAGCCUUAUGCAGGAGGAAUAACCCGGAGAAAUUCGGCCUAAUACUCCACUAGGUAUAUUUUCGGCAUCGGAGAUAUAUGAAAGAUUUAUCGGUAUAAGAUGGACAUGCGUGACAUUAGCUAGAUGGUGAGGUAACGGCUCACCAUGGCGACGAUGUCUAGGGGUUCUGAGAGGAAGGUCCCCCACACUGGUACUGAGACACGAUCCAGACUCCUACGGGAGGCAGCAGUGAGGAAUAUUGGUGCAAUGGACGGAAGUCUGAACCAGCCAUGCCGCGUGCAGGACGACGGCUCUAUGAGUUGUAAACUGCUUUUGUACGAGAAUAACGGUAUCUACGUGUAGGUAAUUGAAUGUAUCGUACGAAUAAGGAUCGGCUGAACUCCGUG